rnacentral:rRNA from 1 species
UGGGGAAUAUUGGACAAUGGGCGAAAGCCUGAUCCAGCCAUGCCGCGUGUGUGAAGAAGGUCUUCGGAUUGUAAAGCACUUUAAGUUGGGAGGAAGGGCAGUAAGCGAAUACCUUGCUGUUUUGACGUUACCGACAGAAUAAGCACCGGGUAACUCUGUGCCAGCAGCCGCGGUAAUACAGAGGGUGCAAGCGUUAAUCGGAAUUACUGGGCGUAAAGCGCGCGUAGGUGGUUCGUUAAGUUGAAUGUGAAAGCCCCGGGCUCAACCUGGGAACUGCAUCCAAAACUGGCGAGCUAGAGUAGGGCAGAGGGUGGUGGAAUUUCCUGUGUAGCGGUGAAAUGCGUAGAUAUAGGAAGGAACACCAGUGGUGAAGGCGACCACCUGGGCUCAUACUGACACUGAGGUGCGAAAGCGUGGGGAGCAAACAGG